CCUACGGGUGGCAGCAGUGGGGAAUAUUGGACAAUGGGGGGAACCCUGAUCCAGCGACGCCGCGUGAGUGAAGAAGUAUUUCUGUAUGUAAAGCUCUAUCAGCCGGGGAGAAAGAAAUGACGGUACUUGACUAAGAAGCCCCGGCGAACUACGUGCAAGGAGACGCUGUAAUCCGUAGGGGGCAAGCGUUCUCCGGAUUUACUGGGUGUAAAGGGAGCGUAGGCGGCGAUGCAAGUCUGGAGUGAAAGGCGGGGGCCCAACCUCCGGACGGCUUUGGAAACUGUAUGGCUGGAGUGCAGGAGAGGUAAGUGGAAUUCCUAGUGUAGCGGUGAAAUGCGUAGAUAUUAGGAGGAACACCAGUGGCGAAGGCGGCUUACUGGACUGUAACUGACGUUGAGGCUCGAAAGCGUGGGGAGCAAACAGGAUUAGAUACCCGAGUAGUC
rnacentral:rRNA from 1 species